GCGUGACGGCGCGAGCAGGUGCGAAAGCAGGUCAUAGUGAUCCGGUGGUUCUGAAUGGAAGGGCCAUCGCUCAACGGAUAAAAGGUACUCCGGGGAUAACAGGCUGAUACCGCCCAAGAGUUCAUAUCGACGGCGGUGUUUGGCACCUCGAUGUCGGCUCAUCACAUCCUGGGGCUGAAGUAGGUCCCAAGGGUAUGGCUGUUCGCCAUUUAAAGUGGUACGCGAGCUGGGUUUAGAACGUCGUGAGACAGUUCGGUCCCUAUCUGCCGUGGGCGCUGGAGAACUGAGGGGGGCUGCUCCUAGUACGAGAGGACCGGAGUGGACGCAUCACUGGUGUUCGGGUUGUCAUGCCAAUGGCACUGCCCGGUAGCUAAAUGCGGAAGAGAUAAGUGCUGAAAGCAUCUAAGCACGAAACUUGCCCCGA
rnacentral:rRNA from 3 species